CCCAGGGCAGGUGGGCGCCGCUCCCUCCCCGUCCUCCAGCCGCCCUGACGGGCGCAGACGGCCUCCCACGCAGGCGACACCUGAGUGCCCUCCACCUGCGGGGACGGUUCCGGACGCAGACACAGGCGGGAGUCGGUCCAACCCAAUAACGUCUCCAAAUGGGGUGUCAGGGUUGAAGAUGGCCUGCAACACUGCCUGAUCUUUUGGAGUCCCCAUGGUGCUCAACUCUAAAAUCUGAAAAGGUGACUCAAGAUGAAAGAAGAGGGAGAAAAUGGUGGAGGCUGGGCCUCACAGCCAGCAGAUCAAGAGGGAGGAGGUUCUGUUUGAGGACCAUUCCCCCUGAGGAGGAGCGUCUUCCAUUCUUUGGCUGUAGUGUAAACUCAACCCCCUUUGGCCUGGGGUUAGGGACCUUGGCUUGGCAGAACAUUUACAAAUAUCUCAACCGCCUCCCCACCCCCACCCCAGGCCUAGGAGAAACAGUAAAUAAAUCCAGUUUCAGCCUUAAGGUGGAGUGGAGCAAAGAGAGGGUGCUGUCCAGGUUCUCCCUGAAAUGCUUUCAUUUUAUUAUACUGAUAGACUGGGAGAAAGUGCUUUGAAGCCACUGCUUGACAGCCCAUGGAUAAAGGAGGAGGGUAUGUAGGAGGUAAAGGAACUAUUCCUUUUUCCUCUUGACCCCUUCCUCAUAUCCAGAGUUACUUUGGGCCUGAACAUACAUCACUGAUGAGUAAGGCAUCGACCGUUUUGGGGAUGAUACAGUUAAGAGAGCCAGUGUGGAGUGGGGCCUGAAGGCAGGCGGUGAGGAAUGACUUCAUGAUUCCACUUUAAAAGAAAGGACUGGGGAAGGCACUUUGUCCUCAGGUCUCAGGCAGCUCCCCUCCCCCAUUUCUCCACCCCAGCCAAAGUCAAAAGAAAGCUCGACCAUGUGCAGCAAUAAACUUGACAUGUUUAUUAAUUAAACUAUCACUUAAAUAAAAAAAAGUGCAUAGAAAAUAAA